rnacentral:rRNA from 1 species
CAAGAGUACGUGAAACCGUUUAGGGGUAAACCUGAGAAACCCGAAAGGUCGAAGGGAGAAAUUCAUUCGCGUCUCGACGCAGGCGUCGGACGGGGUCGAGCGACGGUACGCGAGGCGUUUUCUUCGGAAUCGCUCGCGUUUCGCGCCCUCCGUCCUUCGAACCGGCUGCGAACGCGUGCACUUUUCUCCUGGUAGGACGUCGCGAUCCGUCGGGCGUCGGUCUACGACUUGCGGUGGAGACCGUCCGUCGCGUCUCUCGCGAGACGUACGGACGGACCCGCUCGUUCCGGCCGACUCGCUCGACGGUACACUUAAGGUCGGAGGUCGCUCGAUCUAUAAUAUAGAGAAGAAGCGUUCGACUCGUCGCAAGCGCGCCACGUGCGUCGGCACGCGGACCCGGUGCCGCGUCCGACCUCUGGUGACUGUUGGCGACGACGUUCUCGGACGGACCUCUCUCGCGCGCGCCGCGAUCUCGGCGAGACGGGAUUCUCGUAAUUUCGUCUCUCGGGGUCCGGUCGCGACGAGGACCGAUCGGCGACGCUAUAGCUUUGGGUACUUUCAGGACCCGUCUUGAAACACGGACCAAGGAGUCUAGCAUGUACGCGAGUCAUUGGGAUUUUCGCUAAACCUAAAGGCGCAAUGAAAGUGAAGGUCUUUCCUUCGUGGAAGACCGUGGGAAGACGGACGGGACGAGAGCGCGCGCGCGCGCGUCUAGUGCGUGCGCGCGUGCGCGUGUGCAGAUUCGAAGUACCGCUCGAUCGCCCGUCCUGCAUUCCCGGGGCGUCUCGUUCACAUCGCGUGAAGAGGCGCACCGCGAGCGUACACGCUGGGACCCGAAAGAUGGUGAACUAUGCCUGGUCAGGACGAAGUCAGGGGAAACCCUGAUGGAGGUCCGUAGCGAUUCUGACGUGCAAAUCGAUCGUCGGAACUGG